rnacentral:rRNA from 1 species
CCUACGGGUGACAGCAGUGGGGAAUAUUGCGCAAUGGGCGAAAGCCUGACGCAGCGACGCCGCGUGAGGGAUGAAGGUCUUCGGAUCGUAAACUUCUGUCAGCAGGGAAGAUCGGUCACUGUGCUAAUCAGCAGUGAAUUGACGGUACCUGCAAAGGAAGCACCGGCUAACUCCGUGUCCGCAGCCGCGGUAAUACGGAGGGUGCGAGCGUUAAUCGGAAUUACUGGGCGUAAAGCGCUUGUAGGCGGUAUGUCAAGUCAAGGGUGAAAUCCCCGCGCUCAACGUGGGAACUGCCUUUGAAACUGGCAAACUGGAGUAUGUGAGAGGAUAGUGGAAUUCCAGGUGUAGGAGUAAAAUCCGUAGAGAUCUGGAGGAACA